rnacentral:rRNA from 1 species
ACGGGAGGCAGCAGUGGGGGAUAUUGCGCAAUGGGGGGAACCCUGACGCAGCAACGCCGCGUGAAGGAAGACGGUCUUCGGAUUGUAAACUUUUGUCUUAUGGGACGAAAAAGAUGACGGUACCAUAGGAGGAAGCCACGGCUAACUACGUGCCAGCAGCCGCGGUAAUACGUAGGUGGCAAGCGUUGUCCGGAUUUACUGGGUGUAAAGGGCGUGUAGGCGGGGUCUUAAGUCAGGUGUGAAAUACCCGGGCUUAACUUGGGGGCUGCAUUUGAAACUGAGAUUCUUGAGUGCAGGAGAGGAAAGCGGAAUUCCUAGUGUAGCGGUGAAAUGCGUAGAUAUUAGGAGGAACACCAGUGGCGAAGGCGGCUUACUGGACUGUAGCUGACGUUGAGGCUCGAAGGCGUAGGGAGCAAACAGGAUUAGAUACCCUGGUA